rnacentral:rRNA from 1 species
CCCUUAGAUGUUCGGGGCCGCACGCGCGCUACACUGAUACGUUCAACGAGUCCAAAACCUUGAUUGAUAGGUCUGGGUAAUCUUUUGAAUACGUAUCGUGCUAGGGAUAGAUUAUUGCAAUUAUUAAUCUUGAACGAGGAGUUCCUAGUAAACGCAAGUCAUCAGCUUGCAUUGAUUAUGUCCCUGCCCUUUGUACACACCGCCCGUCGCAGCUACCGAUUGAAUGACUCGGUGAAAAAUUGGGACUGUGAUUGAAAUUGCUUCAUUGCGAAUUUAAUCAUGGAAACUUUCUUUAACCUAGGCAUUUAGAGGAAGGUGAAGUCGUAACA